CUCAAUCUCCACAUUUUUUUCAUUUUCAACUUCACCAUUAUUUUUAUUCUUUUCAACUACUUCCUCAUCACUCCACACUCCUACUUCACCAUCAACAUUUUCUUCCACUAUCUCCUCCUCAAUCUCCUUCUCUUUCUCUCUUUUUUCACUCGCCAUUCUUUUUUCGUUUUCACUACCCAACUCCCUUCCACUUCUCGUCACAAUCGCCUUACAAUGCUCC
rnacentral:lncRNA from 1 species